rnacentral:rRNA from 1 species
GAUGAACGCUGGCGGCGUGCCUAAUACAUGCAAGUCGAGCGAACAGAUGAGGAGCUUGCUCCUCUGACGUUAGCGGCGGACGGGUGAGUAACACGUGGAUAACCUACCUAUAAGACUGGGAUAACUUCGGGAAACCGGAGCUAAUACCGGAUAAUAUAUUGAACCGCAUGGUUCAAUAGUUCAAGACGGUUUUGCUGUCACUUAUAGAUGGAUCCGCGCCGCAUUAGCUAGUUGGUAAGGUAACGGCUUACCAAGGCAACGAUGCGUAGCCGACCUGAGAGGGUGAUCGGCCACACUGGAACUGAGACACGGUCCAGACUCCUACGGGAGGCAGCAGUAGGGAAUCUUCCGCAAUGGGCGAAAGCCUGACGGAGCAACGCCGCGUGAGUGAUGAAGGUCUUCGGAUCGUAAAACUCUGUUAUUAGGGAAGAACAAAUGUGUAAGUAACUAUGCACGUCUUGACGGUACCUAAUCAGAAAGCCACGGCUAACUACGUG